rnacentral:rRNA from 1 species
CCUACGGGGGGCUGCAGUGGGGAAUUUUGCGCAAUGGGCGAAAGCCUGACGCAGCGACGCCGCGUGGGUGAUGAAGGCCCUCGGGUUGUAAAGCCCUGUGGGGAGGGAAGAAUAAGGGUAUGUAAAUAGCGUAUCUGAUGACGGUACCUCCUUAGCAAGCACCGGCUAACUCUGUGCCAGCAGCCGCGGUAAGACAGAGGGUGCAAACGUGGUUCGGAAUUACUGGGCGUCAAGCGCGCGUGGGGGAUUGGAAAGCCCUUGGCUCAACUGAGGAAGAGCAUUCGAAACUGCGCAGCUUGAGUUCUGGAGAGGAUGGUGGAAUUCUCGGUGUAGAGGUGAAAUUCGUAGAUAUCGAGAGGAACACCAGUGGCGAAGGCGGCCAUCUGGACAGAAACUGACGCUGAGACUCGAAAGCGUGGGUAGCAAACAGGAUUAGAUACCCCUGUAGUC